ensembl:lncRNA
AUGCCUCAAACAAAGUCAAUGGAUACAAUCCAGCAGCAGACACUUCAGAUCGUCCUCUGCCUCUUUCAGGAGGACCUGGGGUGUAUUGAGGUGGAUGGAGUCGGCGAUGGUGACAAGUUUGACCCUGUUCCGAUCGCUAAUAAACUGAAGGAGGUGGCAGACCAACUGCAGAAACAGUGGGACAAGGAUAUCCCAGCAGCACUGCUUCGGGACGCAAACCAAGACAUCAGCAGUGCCUUCAGCAGUGCUGUGGACAGUAUUUGCCUGAGCCCCGGGGUUUGUGAGGGGCUUCCAGAGAUGAAGCUGCUCGCAGUGGCGGUGGCCCUAGGUCUCUACCUGAAAACACACGCCCCGGGGAACGUCUCCAACAUCCAGCAGGCAACCGCCAGCUUCCUGCGCAGCCGGGUGGAACCCUUUGUUGAUCAACAGGGCGGUUGGGGUGCCGUGGCAGACCUCUGAACCAGCCAUGUCGUUGUGACCAACAGUCUGACCUGAGCCAAGACUAUUCAAGAAGGUUUUUUACAACCCAGGAGGUCAAAACCACCAGCAUAAAACCGACUGGCCUGAUCCAUACUGAUUUUAUUGGUUAUUAUUUUUAUUAUUCCACUUGAUUAUGAAGGUUUUUUCAAUUUCUUAGCUUUUCUCUAAAAUGUACACCAUAGAAGGAAAAAGUAAGUUUACAGUAAGAAGUUUACAUAUGUUUACACAUGCACAAUCGCGUGAUGUGCAUGUGAAAAGUGAUGACAUGAUCACCUUUGUUGAUAGUAGAAUAUCAAUAGGAAUGGGUAUAGGAAUAUGAACACAUGAUUUAACUGAUGUAGUCGGUAUAUUCAGGUCAGAUCACAGGGAAAUACCAAGCUUAUAAGGAAAAUACUUGAAACCAGCCUCUUCCAGGAGACAGCGACCACAAUCAAACAUGAACCUGAUGAAUGGGAAGCUUCCUCAUGGGGAUGUUGUGCUGCAUGGCAAACGUAUUCCCAUACACCACAAUGAUUGUUAUUCCAUAAGUGCAAGGUUUAAUCUUGUGUAGUGUGUAAUGUAUAAACACUGUCUACAUCACACAUCUACGUAUCACGGGAGAAUCUAUAUAUGUGGCGUUUAUCUGUAAUGAAGUGAAAGGAACCAAGUGAGUAGAAAAAUGCAUUGCGAACUACCGUCCUGGUUGGUGAAUGUUUGUAAAUCACUAAUGUGCCUCUGUCACAAAAUAAAAAUGACUGUCCUAGGCCCAUCUUCGUACAUUUCUGGCUACAAGGCCCAACCUUUCACCUACAGAUUGUGUUUAAAGUCACAGCCUCUAGAGGGCAGCACAAUAUUAGUAAUAAGCAGGCGAGGACAAUUAAUGUUAAUUCAAGUAAAGUAACAACGUGCGUUUCAAUACGGUUCACAUUUAGUUCCAAUAGCACUGUUGAUCAAAAUAUAUAAACACAAGAUUUAGGGAAGUUGGGUAUAUUUGAGGAAAAAAACUAAUUUGCAUAUUUGUUGCUAUCAGUUAGAGAUAUUUCAUAACUCGGAACCCCUAAGAUUUAUAUCUUUAAUACAGGGGCCCAAAACAUUGCAAGACAAAGUGAGCUGAAUCUGCCUUUGCAGUGUUACAUCCGUCAGAUUUUCAUCAGGGCUCAGGAAGUAGGCCUAUAGUUAAAAUAGUCUGGCUUACAGAAAUGAAAACUCUAGUGCUCCUAGAUCUAGAAAUAGCUAAAUAAGGUAUGGGGUACAUUAAACCAGUGGUUCUCACCCCCAGGGGUCCGCGGUGCAUUGCCAAGGGGUCCGGGAAAAGUUUUUGGGCCAAUAGUAACUCUUUUAUAACAUUACGUCAAUCUGUCAAAGCAUUCUCAGAGUCUGAUAACGCCAAGUAGCCUACUUUGAAGACAAUUGUUAAAUAUAAUUAAAAAGGCCUAAUACUGAUAAUCCCACACAAGCCGGAAAGGUGAGGAAGUACAACGAAGACUACACUUUAUCUACAUUGGAAGCCUUUGGAUUUAUUGAGAACAGUGGUGGGAAGCCGAUGUGUGUCUUCUGUUAGAUAAUGAAGCAAUGAAGGGAGCUUGCCUAAUGUUCCCACAGCCCUAUGUUCCCACAGUCCUACACCAAAUGCCCAAUUUUCCCCACAUUUCACUGGAACUGGUUGGAUCCCUGCCUCACUUAUCGGAAUUGAGCUUUGUUUAUCCCUAACACCUAACCUUCUCGUUAAUUUACUAUAGAGUGCUUCCAAAAAAAUCUUGUGGGAGUACCUAAUUUUGAAAAUGUCCCAGAAAUGUGUGACUAACCCAGAUAGCAAAAUUGAGUUGAAUCAAUGAUUAAAUAUGGUUUGGCAGAAAUGUUGAUACUACGUUGAAGCCUGACAUUGAAACGAUGUUGAAAGUGUCCCCUCUACUUUUUGUUGAAUCAACAUUGGAUCUUCAACCAUAUCGAUAUUGAAUCAAUGGUGAUUCAACCAUCAUCUAAAUGAGAAUCUACAUUUAAAUUUCAAUUGAUUUUAUGUUGAAAUAAUGUUACUUAUCAAUGGCGAAUCAACCAUCAUCUAAAUGAGAAUCUUCAUUUAAAUUUCAGUUGAUUUUAUGUUGAAAUAAUGUUACUGAAUCAAUAUUGGUUCAACCAUUAUCUAAAAGGUAUACUAAAUAUUAAUUUAUAUGAAUUAAUGAGUAUAAUAUACAUGUAUUACAAUGAGUGAUGGCCAUUUUAGCUUGCAGAACAAUCAACAUCAACCUUGAAAUAAACUCUUUAGCAGUAAGACUAUCAGCCAAGAGGUGUUUAUGUCAAUGAAAACAAAAUGUGGUAUUGUCAACAAUAGGACUAACUGUAUAUAACAACAGACACAUUUUGGAUUCAUUUAGUUACUAUGGAUAAAACCAUUUAUUAGAAAAACAACAAAAAACAAAGGCUGCAACCAGGGCCAACCAGGGCCAUAGCUCAUAUGAAGAGGACACUGUGGGAGAGAAGCACAAAGGACAAGCAUGUCAGCACUCACGAUUAAACAUUUUGGCAGAGCAACUUAUGCAACAGCAAUUUAAGAAUAUUAGGAAUAUCAAAUUCACCUACAUCUACUUUUUCUUGAUGCCUCCUGCAUGCCAAGGGGCGUUCCGUAGCCAAUUUUUGACAAUGUCGCUGGAAGGCCUGCUGUGGUGAGUUUUCGGUCACACUGCCUAGAAGCAACUGAAAGACAUGAAUACAAAAUGGUUGUUUAAGGAAUGAGAAGAUACUCAUCGUAUCAGUUGGGUUUAACUCAAUUGGAACGACCAUGCGGAACAUGGAUAUAAAAUGUUAACAGUGAAAAUGUUGGGUUGCACUACAUGUUUCAUUGGAAUACAUUGGAAAUGCAUUGGAAAUGCACCUCAUGUUCCUGAAAUGCAUUACAGGAACAUGACUCUCCAUGAGCUAGGGGCAGGUGUGACAUCUGUCUUUGCAUGUUUAAUAACAUCUAGAGGACACGAGCUUUCAGAAAAUGUAUGGUUUGAGUGGUUAUAUUGGCUUUCCCUAAAAGUAUAGACCAAAAUGUAAAGUCUUUCUACUUGAUUCACAAGGCAAAUCCUGAUAAUGACUGGCGUUUCUAUACAUUAUCCCUUACUUAACAUUCUGAUCAAUGUUCAGCAUGGUCAGACCUUUCAAAAAAAGGUAUUUUUUUGGAAUAUGGGAUGGGGGGGUGGGUGCGCGGUAAGGCCCAGUAAAGCCCGGUGAGGCCCCGCCUAUAUAUGCAGAAUGUCUCAUUAUGCAGCUCAGUUUAUCAAACAAAUUACCAUCUUUUGUCGGACUUGGCUCAGUUUUCAACAACGUUUCCGGCCUCAUUGAAGUCAUCUUCUUUUGUGAUAGGCAGCUGGAUGGGGAACAUGUCUUGGCUUGUGGCUGGCCCUGGUCCACAAGCUGGGGUCAUUGUAGUCUCUGCCAAUUCACCCUUGAUGAACUGCACAUCCCUUGAGAGUUCAUUGACAACCAACCAAGCACUUCUGCGAGCAUUUUUGUCAUCUUUUGGAUGCCAAGGUCUUAAAUAAGGAUAAAAACAAAUUGUCAAACAAAUUGCCAUGAGAUAAAAAUGUGCAAAAUACUUCUGUGGUUACAUAGCACAACAUUUUCUAAUAGACUUGCCUUUCAAAAAGCUGCCCGUUGUCACCAUUGCAUGGUCACAUCUAUAAAUACAAGUAAUUUAGAAACAAUUAACAAUUCCAACAAGACCAAAUAAACCAUUACCCGUUUUGUGCAUAUUGUGGGGCACGAAAUGGGGUGUGCACAGAACCAUAUGGUGAUAUACUGGUAACCCUGCUGAAACAAAUAUAUUAAAUUUAGAUAUUUGGAAGCAUUAACACAACUUUGAGAGGGCAGAUUGUGUUGUCAGCUACCAAAGGAGGUCAUAACAAAAAAAUGUUAUUAAGUAAUUUUAUGUCAUGCUAAUGUGUCAGUUUCAUUGUGGAGUUCUGUGUCCACGGCUGUACUAAAAGUGUUGCUGGAAGUAUGGCAUCAUACCAUCUCUCUGUGGGACCUGCAGCUGGUGGGACGUCCCAGCGCCGCCGGCGGAUGCUGCCAUCAUUUCUGAAACACACAAAAGAAAUGUAAAAGUCAGUGAAUUAAAUUAUUUUACAAAAGACAUACAGAGGCUUAUGUGACUACCGACCAUUAUUUGAGAGCUUACCAUGGUGAAAUUGCACCGGCACCUGCAAACAUAUCUGCAAAAGGGGCAUACAAUACAUGUGACUUACCAUUUCUUGCCAGUUGUGAGGACCAUGCUACUGGAACUCUCACAUCAGGCUGGAGUGAAAGAAGUGGUUUCCUAGGUUCACCAGA